rfam:Beauveria bassiana D1-5 mit mitochondrial, whole genome shotgun sequence.
GCCUGAUUAGCAUAAAAGUAAUGCAAUUGUUUUGUAAUCAAUAGACGGAGGCGCGAUACCUCCAUUGGGCU